ACAGGUUAAGCUGACGAGAGGCGAACGGGUGAGUAAUAUAUCGGAACGUGCCCAGUAGUGGGGGAUAGCCCGGCGAAAGCCGGAUUAAUACCGCAUACGACCUACGGGUGAAAGGGGGGGAUCGCAAGACCUCUCGCUAUUGGAGCGGCCGAUAUCAGAUUAGCUAGUUGGUGGGGUAAAAGCUCACCAAGGCGACGAUCUGUAGCUGGUCUGAGAGGACGACCAGCCACACUGGGACUGAGACGCGGCCCAGACUCCUACGGGAGGCAGCAGUGGGGAAUUUUGGACAAUGGACGAAAGUCUGAUCCAGCCAUGCCGCGUGCGGGAAGAAGGCCUUCGGGUUGUAAACCGCUUUUGUCAGGGAAGAAAAGCUUUGGACUAAUAAUCUGGGGCGAUGACGGUACCUGAAGAAUAAGCACCGGCUAACUACGUGCCAGCAGCCGCGGUAAU
rnacentral:rRNA from 1 species